rnacentral:rRNA from 1 species
UACAGAGGGUGCGAGCGUUGUCCGGAAUCACUGGGCGUAAAGGGCGCGUAGGUGGCGACCCAAGUCGAUGGUGAAAGCUCGCCGCUCAACGGCGAGUCGGCCACUGAUACUGGGUUGCUGGAGCACUGUAGAGGCAGGUGGAAUUCCGGGUGUAGCGGUGGAAUGCGUAGAGAUCCGGAAGAACACCGGUGGCGAAGGCGGCCUGCUGGGCAGUGGCUGACGCUGAGGCGCGACAGCGUGGGGAGCAAACAGG